rnacentral:misc_RNA from 1 species
GAUGAAGAACGUAGCGAAAUGCGAUAAGUAAUGUGAAUUGCAGAAUUCAGUGAAUCAUCGAAUCUUUGAACGCUCAUUGCGCCCGCCAGUAUUCUGGCGGGCAUGCCUGUUCGAGCGUCAUUACAACCCUCAGGCCCCCGGGCCUGGCGUUGGGGAUCGGCGGAGCCCCCCGUGGGCACACGCCGUCCCCCAAAUACAGUGGCGGUCCCGCCGCAGCUUCCAUCGCGUAGUAGCUAACACCUCGCGACUGGAGAGCGGCGCGGCCACGCCGUAAAACACCCAACUCUUCUGAAGUUGACCUCGAAUCAGGUAGGAAUACCCGCUGAACUUAAGCAUAUCAAUAAGCGGAGGA